rnacentral:rRNA from 1 species
AACGAACGCUGGCGGCAGGCCUUAUACAUGCAAGUCGAGCGCAUCCUUCGGGAUGAGCGGCGGACGGGUGAGUAACGCGUGGGAAUGUGCCCUUCUCUACGGAAUAGCCACUGGAAACGGUGAGUAAUACCGUAUACGCCCUCAGGGGGAAAGAUUUAUCGGAGAAGGAUCAGCCCGCGUUAGAUUAGGUAGUUGGUGGGGUAACGGCCUACCAAGCCUACGAUCUAUAGCUGGUUUUAGAGGAUGAUCAGCCACACUGGGACUGAGACACGGCCCAGACUCCUACGGGAGGCAGCAGUAGGGAAUCUUGGACAAUGGGCGAAAGCCUGAUCCAGCCAUGCCGCGUGAGUGAUGAAGGCCCUAGGGUUGUAAAGCUCUUUCGCCAGGGAAGAUAAUGACGGUACCUGGUAAAGAAACCCCGGCUAACUCCGUGCCAGCAGCCGCAGUAAGAC